CAGUCGCCGCGGGAAUACGAAGGGUGCAAGCGUUAAUCGGAAUUACUGGGCGUAAAGCGUGCGUAGGCGGUGAGUUAAGUCUGCUGUGAAAUCCCCGGGCUCAACCUGGGAAUGGCAGUGGAUACUGGCUCGCUAGAGUGUGUCAGAGGAUGGUGGAAUUCCCGGUGUAGCGGUGAAAUGCGUAGAGAUCGGGAGGAACAUCAGUGGCGAAGGCAGCCCCCUGGGCCAAUACCGACGCUCAUGCACGAAAGCGUGGGGAGCAAACAGGAUUAGAGACCCCGGUAGUCCCUGUCUCUUAUAC
rnacentral:rRNA from 1 species